CGGGGCGUGGCGCAGCCUGGUAGCGCACUUCUCUGGGGGAGAAGGGGUCGGAAGUUCGAAUCUUCUCGCCCCGACCA
rnacentral:tRNA from 1 species